ACCCGCGGCCAGCAACCUGGAGACGCCGCUCUUUUUUGGGUGCGGGGAGUUCCGGAGGCUGUGGGGCGGAGAAGCGAAAUGCCACCCUCUCUCGAGCUCUGAAGCAAAUGACGAUACGGAGCGCUCUCGCCCCCUCCCAACACAGCGGGAGCCCUUGAUUCGAUCCCGAAGGAGGCGAGCGAGCAAGAGCCUGGAUCUACAUGGCUCGCGUGUCCCUUCCGCUUUCCGCACCCCCACGCAGACCUCGCCGAGGCUACGCGGCGCUCCGGGAGCUGUUCCGAGCUCCGAGUGGGGCAGGGAGUUGAAGUUUUCUUGCCAUCAGAUUAUUUUGAAAUACUGAGAAUGCGGCUUGUGGGAAACCAAAAGCUCCGUGGGCUCAUGGACGUGUCUGCCAACUUGGGGCUAAGUGUCAUGAAUCUGAGAAGCAAGUUGCAUGCCCACCUCCCACCUACGUCACUCCUCCCGAAGCCUCUUUUUCCGGCCUAAUGCCUCCACUGGGCCACUUGCAAGUCUUGCCACUGCUUAGGGAAAGGGUCUGCACCCGGGCGCAGGGCAGCAAAAGCCGGGGGCGGCGUGCGCGGUGCACGGCGAGUGCGGCUCCAGCUGCGCCCGCAGAGGCGCUGCACCUUGGCGCCUGCAGCAGGAGAGCAGCCAGCCAGCAGCUCCGGUACUUCGACUGCUGCCGAGUCUCCAAGGAGGCUGCAAGAACCCAGAGUCGCAGCCGAUUGGUUCCCCCGCUGCACUGGGACCACCCCUUCGCACCACCGCGACCGCGAUGCCUCCCGCCUCCGCUACCCACCUCUUUAAUCAAAGCCAAAGAUUGCAUCCUCCCCGCUCUAUUGUGGCUAGAGGGAAGCGGGGGCCUCUGCGGGGUUGCCCAGGCAGCGCAACAAUCCUGGGUACAGAACUAGCUAAGUCCCUCCUCCAGAUUGCGACUCCCGCAUUUCUUUCAGAAAAAAAUAAUAAUAAGUAUUUGUUCCCUCCACUCCUUCGGAGCCAUAUCCCAGCUUUUCUUUUUACAAACAAUGAGUUACCUAAAACUCCUCCUUCCCCUAGGAAGGACUGCCCUUUCCCCACCUUCCACACACAUAUUCCUGGAUCCCACUUACUCCAUGCUCCCUUGCCUUCCUAGCCUACGGCUUUAUUGAAGAAAAAAAGAAGCUAAGAAAGAAAAGAAAUAAGAAGCUUUGCAUUGAAAUACUGUCAAGGCCCUUGUUUUGGUUGCUGCUGCUCCCCAGGCUAUGCUGCUGCUAUAGCUCUAACCCAAAAUCGCUCUGCGGCCAGACGGGAUAAAUAUUUUCUGACAUGUCCCAGCAAUAUUGGGCUUCCAACCCUGCUCCUGUCCCUCCCUUUGCCCCCUUCCUUCUUUUAAAUGUUUCUAAAACUGUCAUCUCCCUAGCUUCACAUGAGUGCGCUUGCCCCCAAUUCAGCAUUGGGAGGUCACCUUACAGAAGAGAUUUACAGACUGGAUGAGAUCCCAGGUUCCUCAAUUCAACGUUUUAUUAAGAGGGCAUAGUAAGAUCAGGAAGUUUUCAACAUCCCUGGAGGAUGUCUUUAGAACAGGACUGGACCUCCAAGGAAUUGGAAGAGAGUUGCUGAGCUGAGCUAGGAAUUCAUCAUUCUUGAUGCAAAUGAGAGUCUGGAGGUAUUUAUUCGUUUAACAACUUGCUUAGUUCCAGGAGUUCCCAUUGUGGCUCCGUGGGUUAAGAACACGAUGCAAUGUCCCUGAGGACACGGGUUCCAUCCCUGGCUUCAAUCAGUGGGUUAAGGAUCCAGCAUUGCUGCAAGCUGCAGUGUAAGUCACAGAUGCAGCCUGGAUCCAGUGUGGCUGUGGCUGUGGCUGUGACCUAGGCUCCAGCUGCAGCUCGGAUUUGACCCCUGGCCCCUGGCAUAUAGAAACUUCUACAUGCUGCAGGCGCAGCCAUAAAAAGAAAAAACAAAAACACUUUGCCUAAUUCCAGGUAUGUGUCAGACAAGUCCUCACACUGGAGACACGGUAAUAACUAAGACAUGAGAUCUCAGACCUUCGAGCCCACAUUCUUGUGGGAGAGACAAGGAAUUGGACUAUACCUUAUAAUGUUAGGGGAAAAAAACUUUUAAGGAGAUAGAGAGUGAUAAAUAUAGAUUUGCAUGGAUAAGAAGGGCCUCCCUGCAGAGGUAACAUUUGAGCAAAGGACUUCAAGAAGAAAGAGAUCAAAGAACAGGAAUGUCAGGAGGAUGGAAGAGCAAAUGCAAACAUUCUAAGGCAAGGACAAGCUCAGCAUAUUUGGGAAACAAAAGAGGGCUGGAAAGAAGUGAGCAAGGAAGAGGGAUGGAGAAAGUGGGUCAGAAAAGUGGGCGGGCAGAUCAUGCAGGGCCUCUUAAGCCACUCUACAAAUAUUUCGUUUGCUUCUGAGUGCAAGGGGAAGAUAUUGGAGAACUUGCAUCCCUGCAGUAACAUAAUAUGAUUUGCCGUUUUUAACGGUUAUUCUGGCGGCUAGAAACAGAGUGUGAGAGCUGGAGGUUAUCAAGUAACACAAGCAAAGAUGGUUUAAACAAGGAAGAUAGUGGUGGGAAUAGGAUUACAUUGUGAAAACUGAGAUGAGGAGUUCCCUCUGUGGCGCAAUGGAAUUGGAGGUGUCUCUGCAGCGCCAGGACUCAGGUUCAAUCCCUGGUUCCAGUGGGCUAAAGGAUCCAGCGUUGCCACAGCAGAGGCAUACAGCUGUGGCUGGGAUCUGACCCCUGGCCUGGGACCUCCAUUUGCCAUGGGGUGGCCAAAAAAACCAAAGAUGACAGGAUUUUGGAUGUGGGGGAAGGACACAUGUCAAGAAUGUCUCCUAGGUCCAAAGUCUUAGCAACUAGGUGGAUGGUGAUGUCAUUUACUGGAGGAGUGUGCUGGACAGCACCUGUCCCACUGGAUUGUGAGCCACACAAAGUCUGGGACCGUGUGUGUCUUAGUUAUUACUGUCCUGGGCUAUGGAGGCCUUUCCUCAGAAUCUCCUUGCUUCUCCAUUCUUUCCUCAGGCCACUUGCCUUGUCUCAGCUGCUGCUGAAACAGCCAGCUCUGUGAGGGCAGCAGAGUUCUGCCUAAUGAGGUUGCAAUGCAUUCCAGUGCAACGCGUGGAAACUGGAUUCCUCAAGAUGGCAAAAAGGUCCAAGUGACCAGCACAGCCACAUGGAGGCAUCAACUCAGUGGACCAUUGAGAGUUGCCUGGUAGGAGAUAUGGGGUAGGAUGGAGCCUGGAGAUAAAUUCUCUCUCUUCAGUCUUUUCAAGGACAAGUAACCACAUGGUCUAGUGACAAGGCUGCAUCUCCUUGUGGUUCAUGAAGUAGUGGCCAGCUUGUAACUAACUACGUUGUUUUUUUUUUUUUUUUUUUUUUUUGUCUUUUUGCCAUUUCUUGGGCCACUCCCGCGGCAUAUGAAGGUUGCCAGGCUAGGGGUUGAAUUGGAGCUGUAGCAGCCUGCCUACACCAGAGUCACAGCAACGUGGGAUCCGAGCCACAUCUGCAACCUACACCACAGCUCACAGCAACGCUGGAUCCUUAACCCACUGAGCAAGGCCUGGGAUCGAACCCGCAACCUCAUGGUUCCUAGUUGGAUUUGUUAACCACUGCGCCACCACGGGAACUCCUCACCACGUUGUUUUUGCACCCUUUCUUCCCCUUUUCCCUUCUUCUCCCUGCCCAGGAUCACACCUUCCAUUAACAUAUUGUCUCAGGUUCUGUUUUCUAGGGAACCUGGGCUGAGGUAGGCAUCCAGCCUUCAGUCCGAGACCUGUUAAGUUUGAGCAAGCUGUUAAAUAGCCAGUGCAGAUGCUGAGUGGGAAACUGGACAUGCAAGUCAGUCUAUACAGUUCAGAGGAGAGAUCUGGGUAGAUCCGGGUUUUUCAGCCUUGGCACUUGGUCUGGGUGCUUUUUGGUUGUGGAUAGCAUUUUUGUUUUGUUACUCUGCAUUUUUGGAGGUUCCGCAGCAUUNNNNNNNNNNNNNNNNNNNNNNNNNNNCCCCCUGCUCCCAGUUAUGACAUGUCUCCAGACAUUGCCAAAGUUUCCCUGAGUUGGAGGGGGGGGGCAAAAAUCACCCCCUUUGGGAACCACUGGGGUGGAUAGUAGUUAAAGCCAGAAUCCUGGACUAGCACACUGGGACAUGAAGGCAGAAAGAGAAGAGGCAGUGUUCAGAGACUGCACCUCAGGAUGCCCUAAUUCUUCAAGGUCAAAGAAGGAAGUGCCUGCAAGGGAGAUGGAGAAAGAGUGACUGAUAAGGUCAGCAACGGGGGAGCGCGGGGGUGGCGAGGGGGGGGGGUCUGUGAAAGCAAAGGAGUACAGUGUUCCAACAAGGAGAGGGAAGGAUUGAUUUUGUUAAACUCUGUGAAUAGAUUGAAUAGAAUGAGGACAUUAGAACCAACUACUGGGUUUAGAAAAACGGAGUUGAGGAGAUAGAAAGCCCCUUCUCUUUCGGUCAUCUUGGAGCCUGUUGAGGCCUGCAGGGAAGAGGGCUUCAAAAACAACAAAUACGAUGGGAAGGUUGUGGUCCAAAGUCUUUUAUUCUGGUUAUAAGUGGGGUCUCCGGAAGCAGAGGAAGCACACAGCUCUUCUUAAAAUUGAAGGUGUUUAUGCCUGAGAUGAAACUGAAUUUUAUCUAGGCAAGAGAUGUGCUUAUGUGUACAAAGCAAAGAAUAACACAGUGAUGCCUGGCAGAAAAUCUAACAAAACCAGAGUAACCUGGGGAAAGGUAACGCGUGCUCAUGGCCCCAGUGGCAUGGAUCGUGCCAAAUUCCAAAGCAACCUUCCAGCUAAGGCCAUUGGACACAGAAUCCAUGUGAUGCUGUACCCUUCAAGGAUUUAAACUUAUUGAAAAGUAAAUAAAUAAAAG
rnacentral:lncRNA from 1 species